UAGGGAAUCUUCGGCAAUGGGGGGAACCCUGACCGAGCAACGCCGCGUGAGUGAAGAAGGUUUUCGGAUCGUAAAGCUCUGUUGUUAAGGAAGAACGAGUGUGAGAAUGGAAAGUUCAUGCUGUGACGGUACUUAACCAGAACGGGACGGCUAACUACGUGCCAGCAGCCGCGGUAAUACGUAGGUCCCGAGCGUUGUCCGGAUUUAUUGGGCGUAAAGCGAGCGCAGGCGGUUAGAAAAGUCUGAAGUGAAAGGCAGUGGCUCAACCAUUGUAGGCUUUGGAAACUGUUUAACUUGAGUGCAGAAGGGGAGAGUGGAAUUCCAUGUGUAGCGGUGGAAUGCGUAGAUAUAUGGAGGAACACCGGUGGCGGAAGCGGCUCUCUGGUCUGUAACUGACGCUGAGGCUGGAAAGCGUGGGGAGCGAACAGG
rnacentral:rRNA from 1 species